AACGUAGGAGACAAACGUUAUCCGGAGUUACUGGGCGUAAAGGGCGUGUAGGUGGUUUCGUAAGUCUGGCGUGAAAUUUCUCGGCUUAACCGAGGCAGGUCGUCGGAUACUAUGAGACUAGAGGACGGUAGAGGCGUGUGGAAUUCCGGGUGUAGUGGUGAAAUGCGUAGAGAUCCGGAGGAACACCAGUGGCGAAGGCGACACGCUGGGCCGUACCUGACACUGAUGCGCGACAGCAUGGGGAGCAAACAGG
rnacentral:rRNA from 1 species